rnacentral:lncRNA from 1 species
CCUGUGACAGUGGGGAGCACAGGACUCUUAAUCCACAUGGUGAGAUCUCCCCUGUGUGUGUGGUUGCAGCAGAGGAAGAGGGAGUAUGUUUAUUCUAACCAUUAAGCAGCCUGUUUUCAGCUUUGAAGCUUGAUCUCUAAAGGUGCAAGUUGUCUGAGUAAGAACCCUAUAAGAAGAGGAGGAAGAGGAAAGUAAAGGAUGGCUGUUUCUCAGGUGAAGUCAUGUUCUCAGUUGAUUCUUCAGUCUGUCUUUCUUGAAAUGCCUCUCUUUGGAUUUCUUUCUGAUUCUGAGGUGUUCUUUCUUGACACCUGUAUGUUCAUCCUUACCUAGUGCCUCCCCUCAGUACAUAUUUAUUAAUUGUUGCAUCUUCUUGGGGAAUUGAUCCUUUUAUGAUUAUGUAAUGUCUUUUGUCUCUUGUGUCAGUUUUUCUAUUUAUUUUGUCUGAUACUGCAUAGUUACUCCUGCUCUCUAUAAGAUAGAAUAUCUUUUUCCUUCUUUUCACUUUUUGCCUUUCUUGUCUUUAGAUUACUGUGUUGCUCUAGCUGUCUGUUUUCUUCCGGUCACUUCCUCUCAUGAUCUCUGCUCAGGCACCCUGUACAGUGGUGAAAGGCAGGAGCCCUGGCCAACUGCCUUCACUUCACUGGAACUUCAAAGGAAUGCAUUCGGAGUUUCCUUUUAAUCAUGACACUGUCACGGUUGACAUUGAAUGAUGUGGCCAUCCAAUUCUCUCCAGAAGAGUGGGAAUGCCUGGACCCUGCUCAGAGGGCCUUAUACGUGGAUGUGAUGUCAGAGACCUUCAGGAACCUGCUCUCUGUGGGUGAGGAUAACUUCCCUCUAAAAGUUGGGAAGGUGUCUGGAUUUACCCUUAUUUGCCUUUUGUAAUCCCCUGCCUUGCUUAACUGAGCUCAAAGCCGUGUUGACUCAGGCAUGAAAAGCUUCAUGAUGUAGCCUCAGGAAUUUAAACAUGCCCUUUUUUAGAUGGUCUGGCCUGGCCAUUUCAUAAUGCACCAGAAGUGUAGUGGAGAAUCCUAUUUAUUGUUCCUCAAAAAUUUAACAUAGUUGAGAAGUUUCAUAACUGUGUUUGAAGUAUUACUUUUAUUUAAUAUCUUAUAUUCAACCUGAAACUUAUAUUCAUGCAGUGUAAUGAAUAGGAUAUCUAUGACUCUUUAUAUCUUGUAGAUAUUUCUCAUAUACACAUCUGGAAAUUACAACUAAAAUCACACACUGAUAGAGGAGGAGUAUGCCAAACAGUGAUUUGGGGAAGAAAUGAAAUCCCGGAAAUCAAACAUUUUAAUC